rnacentral:rRNA from 1 species
AUUGAACGCUGGCGGCAGGCCUAACACAUGCAAGUCGAGCGGAUGAAGGGAGCUUGCUCCUGGAUUCAGCGGCGGACGGGUGAGUAAUGCCUAGGAAUCUGCCUGGUAGUGGGGGAUAACGUCCGGAAACGGGCGCUAAUACCGCAUCCGUCCUGAGGGUGAAAGUGGGGGAUCUUCGGACCUCACGCUAUCAGAUGAGCCUAGGUCGGAUUAGCUAGUUGGUGGGGUAAAGGCCUACCAAGGCGACGAUCCGUAACUGGUCUGAGAGGAUGAUCAGUCACACUGGAACUGAGACACGGUCCAGACUCCUACGGGAGGCAGCAGUGGGGAAUAUUGGACAAUGGGCGAAAGCCUGAUCCAGCCAUGCCGCGUGUGUGAAGAAGGUCUUCGGAUUGUAAAGCACUUUUAGUUGGGAGGAAGGGCAGUAAGUUAAUACCUUGCUGUGUUGACGUUACCAACAGAAUAAGCACCGGCUAACUUCGUG